AGUCUAUGGUGAGGGCAUUGCCGUAGUAGACCUUUGAAUCUAUCCCAAACUUUAUAGAGAGAUUCUCUAUCUUUUUGCAUGAAACUUGAGAUCCUCAUAUGGGU